UACGGGGGGGGCAAGCGUUGUUCGGAAUUACUGGGUGUAAAGGGUGCGUAGGCGGGUCUUUAAGUCAGGGGGGAAAUCCUGGAGCUCAACUCCAGAACUGCCUUUGAUACUGAAGAUCUUGAGUUCGGGAGAGGUGAGUGGAACUGCGAGUGUAGAGGUGAAAUUCGUAGAUAUUCGCAAGAACACCAGUGGCGAGGGCGGCUCACUGGCCCGAUACUGACGCUGAGGCACGAAAGCGUGGGGAGCAAACAGG
rnacentral:rRNA from 1 species